rnacentral:rRNA from 1 species
UGGGGAAUUUUGGACAAUGGGCGAAAGCCUGAUCCAGCAAUGCCGCGUGUGUGAAGAAGGCCUUCGGGUUGUAAAGCACUUUUGUCCGGAAAGAAAUCCUCUGGGUUAAUACCUCGGGGGGAUGACGGUACCGGAAGAAUAAGCACCGGCUAACUACGUGCCAGCAGCCGCGGUAAUACGUAGGGUGCAAGCGUUAAUCGGAAUUACUGGGCGUAAAGCGUGCGCAGGCGGUUUUGUAAGACGGAUGUGAAAUCCCCGGGCUUAACCUGGGAACUGCAUUCGUGACUGCAAGGCUAGAGUAUGGCAGAGGGGGGUAGAAUUCCACGUGUAGCAGUGGAAUGCGUAGAGAUGUGGAGGAAUACCGAUGGCGAAGGCAGCCCCCUGGGCCAAUACUGACGCUCAUGCACGAAAGCGUGGGGAGCAAACAGGAUUAGAUACCCUGGUAGUCCACGCCCUAAACGAUGUCAACUAGUUGUUGGGGAUUCAUUUCCUUAGUAACGUAGCUAACCGCGUGAAGUUGACCGCCU